CUGGCCCUGCCGGGCCUGCCCUCAGCUGCCUUCAGCGCCCGGACUUCGCCUCUCUCAGAUGCGGCAGAAGGACGAGUAAUACAAACUACUGAACUUACCUAAUGCCAAAUCACCUUUUUCAUUCCAGAAGAGGACUAAAAAUGACUUUCAAAAUAAGGGAAAAAAUUAGCAGCUGGGAGAAAACGUGAAAGUUGUCUUCCACUUGUUGGAAAGGAGAACUGAGGAUCUCGGAAUAUUUUACAAGUCUGUAAAGUAUUAUCGCAAUGCAGGUGUGAUCUGAUGAAACCACAGCUAGUGCUGAUGCCUGCCUAUGAUGGCAAGAGAACCCAGACUAUAAACUUGGGAUUUCUAACCUCUUAAUAG